rnacentral:rRNA from 1 species
UACGGAAGGCAGCAGUGGGGAAUAUUGCACAAUGGGCGAAAGCCUGAUGCAGCUAUGCCGCGUGUAUGAAGAAGGCCUUAGGGUUGUAAAGUACUUUCAUCGGGGAGGAAAAAACAAAACUAAUAAUUUUAUUUCUUGACGUUACCCGAAAAAGAAGCACCGGCUAACUCCGUGCCAGCAGCCGCGGUAAUACGGAGGGUGCUAGCGUUAAUCAGAAUUACUGGGCGUAAAGAGCACGUAGGUGGUUUUUUUAAGUCAGAUGUGAAAUCCCUGGGCUUAACCUGGAACUGCAUUUUGAAACUGAAAUACUAGAGUAUCGUAGAGGGAGGUAGGAAUCUAGGUGUAGCGGUGGAAAUAGCGUAGAUAUCUGGAGGAAGUACCUGUGGCGAAAGCGGCCGUCCUAAACCGAAUAACUGACACUGAGGUGCGAAAGC